UCGAUGAGCAAAGAAGGGCGUGCGUCACCACCGUCAUAGGGAUCGAACGUGACUACACCUCUGUCCAUGAAUGAGGGCCCCAGAGCAUCACUCGUCCAUGGCACAACUUCUCGGGGCGGUCGGACUCACGGGGGACCAACGGGGUGGCCAAAAUUCCUCCCCGUCGCUCAUGCACCACCGCUGACCAGACCUCGCCAUGGCUUGUGUCGCCUGCACACUGAUUGAUGGUAAGACGCAAUGCAUCGAGUUCGCCUUCUUCUCCACUUAGUGUAGCACCCAUCUGUUUAGACGGGGGAAUCCUGGUGCACCGCGUCAACAUUCUCCAGUGUGGGCGCCGUCGUCCCAAGCGCGUGCCCCACCGUGCUCGGUCGUCGUGCAGAGAAGAAGACCUCUAGCCGUUUGAUCUAAAGCUGGCAGCUGGGAUCAUAUCUGCGUACCCCUUUGUGUGUCUCAAUCCGGGUCGUUGGUGUAGAUCUGUGUGGUUCCCGUGGGAUCUCAAUUCAUUAGAUUUUGGUCGUAGAUCAUCAAUUCAACAAAUGUGAAUGCUUACAGGUUCAGGACUAGGUCACGGUUGUCUAUCUCGCGAUCAAUGGCUCAGGUAGCUUACCGGUUGGAUACAAAAGCCGAUCUAAUCCUGACCACGGGUGGGUGAUCGGACGGCUCUGGAUGGCCUAUACCCCUUCGGCCAUGUGAUUUUGCAUAAAGCCAUAAACCCUCAAGAUUCUAAUAAACCAACCUGUCGUCCCACUCCUAUUGAAACUAAUCACAGUUAGAUCCAUAAAUUUUACAAAACCACCCCUGAAAUUUAUUUUAAGCAUAAAAAGGUGUAUAAAAAUGCAUAAAAACUUAGAUAAUUCAUAUUUUGAUCGUUUUGACUCCAAUUUGACCCGUUCGAAUUAAGUUAGGUGCAUAAUAAUAUUACAUGUACAGUAUAACACUAACUUUUAUAGUUGGGUACUUAUUUUAUGUAUAGUAAAUUAAUCUAACCAAUCCAAGCAGUAUGUUAAUAAUUAUAAUCUUAAUAGAAGGUGAUCUUUAACUACGAUAUGACUUACAUUAGAGUUAAUCUUUAAUGUAUACCUCACAUGAUUUAUAAAAUCAAUCUAGGACCUAGUAUUAGUUGUUUAAUCACAUAUGCCUUCGGAAAACCAUAUCCUUAUAAGCAUAACCCCGAUAUUAGUGGUUCUCGAAUCUGCAAUCUCGUAGUAGCGUGUAGAAUAUUCUUACGCUGUGUGUUCUCAUGUUUGGUGUACUGUUAUUUUUAUGUACUCCUUGUCUAUUUGUAUGUAUUGCUACGAGUAGCAGCGAGGUCAUGUGAAACCCAAAGACUAACUUGGUGAAGUACCUGGGACCUCAAGUCGUAGGCAAGUUGUGCUCUUGAUCACUCUUCUUUACCUAAUAAUGUUCUGUAAUACCCAAGUUGUAAAGAGUAAGAAAGGAGAUAAUUUCCAUAUAUGAUUUGCCUCUAUUUAUUUGAACAUGUGAAUAACCGCAUUUAGAAAUGAAUAAAUAAAAAAUGACACAUGGAUAACUUGUGCAUCAUGUUAGAGUUAUUUGGUUGUGCAUUUAAUAAUAAUAGUAAUCCUAGUGACAAAUAAAUUAAUAUCCAAAGGAUUUAAUACCUAAUUUGAAAAGGAGAAAGGGCAAAGAGAUGAGGAAGAGGGAGAAAAUACUAAAUACAAAAAAAUAUAAAGAAAAAUAUAUUCCUCUUACACUAGGUUGAAAUUAUACAUUUAGUUCAAAUGUGAAACCCACAAUCAAAGUUGAAUUCAAAUUUGAAAUCAAAAUUUAGAAAAAGAAAAGAAAGGAAAAUAAAAAGCAAAGAGGAAAGAAAGCCUACCUGGGCCUCAGACCCCAAUUCGGACAACUAACUCUCCAACGCGCACCUGCCCACUCGGCCUUUGCUUCAACGUGGCCCAUGAUUGAAGCGGGCACCGACCUGUGGGCCCGGGACGUCAGGCAUCGGGGCGCUCAUGAAGGCUUCACUGACUAAUGGGCUCAAGGCGUCAGAAUCUUCCUCAACAAACUGGCCACACCAUUCGGAUCUCCGGCUCACGACACGUGAUCCUCGGCGACAACCUCACCCCGAUUCUGGAGCCUCGACCUAGGUAUAAGACUUGUCGCGCCGCGCCCAUAUGGGCCUAUUCGACCACUUAGAUGGCUAGGUCAUACCACCGCUGCGCGAAUAGGAGGGGAUAGUGCGUCGCCCAGCGCUUAGUCACCGUGUGCCCAGCCGAAUCGCGCGCUGCCGCCACUCCGGUCGAUUGCCGUGGUUGGGAGGCUUCACCAGUGUGCGGCGGAAGUAACUGCGGCGUCAGUGGGGAUCAGUGACCAGCAGUGCCCACAGAAUUUCUCACCGGAGCUCUGAACUGUAAUGGUUUACCCCCUUCCCGUGGGUGGAGCUCGGUGCGCCACCAACAUUGAUAAUGUCACACCCGGGUUUUAGGAGCACCAAGACCCGGGCGCGAACAUAAACACCAGAUAUGCUGGGACCAAGUCUCACACAUAUGAUGUAUAGUGGCACAGGAUCGAAUGUCACAUCUUUAUAUAUAACAGGAGUUCUAUACAAAAUAAAUAAUUACAUUAUAAGGAGACAGUGGUCCAGCAACCCAAAGUUGACUGGGAGACGACGGCCUAGACCUCUCACGAACACAUCGCAGCAUCCUCCAUGCGCCUCAUCCUGUGGUACCUGUUCUUGACCUGUGGGGGGGGUGUGAGACAGCAAGAGUGAGCUCACAUACGUUCAUCGCUCAACAAGUUGUGGGGAAUAAUGUGCAUGAACUCGCCAAAGGUGGGAGCUCACGUGAAGUGUAAGGCUUACCAAAGAGGAUGGUUAGAGCUGAGCAUUGCUUUUAAAGUUGGUCAAAAUUUUAUUAGCAAUUACUAAGUAUAAGUAAAUACCAACCCAAUUAAGUAGUAGAACAAAAGUAACAACAUCACCUGCGAUGCAAUGCAUAUGACAAAUUGAAUUUAAGUUCCAUAAAUUAAUCAUCAGAGAGUCCUGAGCUGCUCAUGACCGUGAGCUCGGCUAGUAUACCAGUUUUACACUCUGCAGAGGUGGUACCCUUUACCCACAAGUCAUGUUACCCAUCUGCCAAGGGAUCGCGACUUCCCAUACACCUCUACCGAGGAGGCGAGGCAGGGUAACACUACGAGGCCUUUACAAAGUUCCACUAGCUUCAGAAAACCCGCUACAGUUUAUAGGAAGCUCCAAUGCAGGAAUCCCUUGCAGGACCGCCAUCGCAGCAAAAUCCUCCCGAGGGCCUCCCUACACUGACCACUCCCCUACUGCCCUUGCCCCUUUCGGGUAAGGUAGUCCUCCACUAGCUUUCCUAAUUAAUCAGCCAAGGGCGUCCAUAAACCCUUGUGGUGGCACGUGUUUCUCAAGUUAAGCUCUAUGUUCCAAUUAACAUUUAAUGAUCUUGUCAUGAACAUAAAUAAAAUAACAACAUAAUUGGAACAUAGAUAUAAUGAAAUAUUAACCCAAAACCAUAUAAAGCAGUAGCAGAACUACCCAAGUGAUUCAGGGGUAAACAAGGUAUUCAGGAUAAACAAACUAGGGUAACCUAUUAGGUCCCAUCAAAAUUAACCUUUGCAGAUCAUUAUGAUUAAUUAGAACAUGAGUGGGUAAAAGAAGUGAUCAAGGGCACAACUUGCCUGGGACUUGAGAUUCCAGGUACCAACUUGCUUUUCAGAUGACACGUGUCCUCGCUCUAGUCGUAGCAAUACAAACAAACAUUGUAUAGGCAAAAUUAACAUUACACCAAGCAUGUAAAUAAAAUACACAGUAAUAAUCUAGACAUUAAAAUAAGAUCACAGGAACUGGAAUCAUUAAAUUUGGAGUUAUAGAUUUCAAGUUAUGAAUUUCCUAAGGUUUAAUGUGAUUGAAAUAGGGUUAAAUGAUAAAUAAAUUUUCUAACAGAGUUCAUGUCAAAACAGUGACUCUAAGUGUUAGAGAAUAAUAUUACAAAAUUUUAGAAAUUGGAAUGGGUUAAAUUGAAGUUCAUAUGGAUUUUCUAUGGAAUAAACAAGUUCUAGCACUUAUUUUCAUAUUAAAUAUUCAUUUUCUAAUUCAAUUAUUCAAUUUAAAUAGGCUCUGGAUUAAGCGUCAAAAUCUGAGAAGCGCAGGGGCCUAGCUGCAAAAAUACCUGUGACUCAGAGCGCUACAGAUAGGACGGCGGGUUGUUUAGUGCUUUCUUCGGGGGUUUUUCUGCAAAGUGGGGGUCGAAAACGGUAUGAUGCAGUUUCGGCCGAUGGAUCGCGGAUGAAUGUUCCUGAUUAGAUUGGCGCAACUGCGAACCGGUAUGUGAUUACAGUCGUCCGAUCACAGAUCAGUGGCCAGUAUUUUACGAAUCCUGAUCAGAGCACGAGCGUUCGAUUCAAAACAGACGUACCCGAUCAACACCGUGAAUCGGUACGCCCCCGCUCUAAUCGCAGCCGCCCAUUGGCCAUCUAACGGCCGAACGAUACCCACUUCUCCUCCUACCCCGCGACGGCGGCGCCGCCGCGCCUACGGCCGAGAAGCCCGGCGAGUUCCCCCAACUCGGCGCUACGCUACUCUGAAUUACUACGGACAGGUGCAACGCACUCCUAACAACACGGUGAAAGUGGUCGGGGAACAUACCAAGAGGUUGGCACGACGACGAGACCCGACCACGCGGAACAGGGGCUUCCGCGGCGGAGCUUGACCACAGCGAGCAAUUAAGGGCCGCACGAUGGACGAUUCCGCCCGCAACCACCACGUACUGUUUCGCAGAAGCUCGGCGCAGGUCCCCGACCCCUUCUAACAACACCAGGCGGCGAUGAAUGGAUGGGAAGGCACAGCGCGGCGGCGAAGGUCUCUCUCUCUCACCUCCGGGCGCCUGUGGUUCUGCGUCGCUGGCCAGAGAAAGAGGAUGGGGGGUUGCGGUGACGGCUCUAUUUAAGCACCGAGGCGAGCAGAUCCCGGCCAGAGGAUCGGAACAGCCUGCCCAAUUCGUGCGGAAUCCAUGGAUUUCGGGCGAUGGUUUGAGUCCGUGUGGAAGACGACCAGUGAUAGGGACCCACCGUCAGCGAAACCAGAAAAUGCGCCUGGUGCACAGAGGAUGCCCGGUGGGACCCAUCGGUCGGGCGGCCGUGGAUUUCGUUGCGCAGAGUCCGUGCGAUUCCAGCAGUACACGCCAGCGCGAGGAAGACGGAUGAGCUGACGACGUGGCCCCACGCGUCAUUGGUUCAAACAGAUGUCCGCGGAGGCUGAUUGGUGGGCCCCGGCGUCAGCAGGCGCGGGUGCGCAGUGGAUGGGCCGCGCAGAGGUGAUUCCCUAGUGGGCCGAAAAGCGGGAUCUCAGCCCAUUCAAGCAUUUCUCUUUUUCUUUUAUUUAUUUUCUGUUUCCCUUCUUUCCAAAUUCACUUCAUUUUGAAUUUAAAUUAAAAUAUUGUGACAAAUUUGUCUUCAGAUUAGAUUGGGUACUAACUUUGAGCAUUUAAUUAUAUAUAUAUUUUAUGUAACUUUUAUACUCUUUACCUCUUUCUCUUCUCACUUCCUAGUUUCAAAUCCAAGCUUCAAUUUAGGGUUUAAUCUAAACUUUCAAUCAUUAUUAUAUUAUUAUUUUUUUCUUAUACGCAUUUUAGGCCUUACAGAUAAGAACUCCACCGACGAACUUGCAUUAAUCCCUUCUGUGUUUUAAAAUCGUUAGACAAGUCAGCGAUGGCCGAGGUGCCAAAUUAACCUAUCACCGGCGGGUUACCGUCGCGGCUGUGUUGCGCGGGGGCACUCGACCAUCGGGGGGGAGAAGAUGACCCCACGACCGUCCAUCUAGGAUUCGACGGUACGGAUUCGAUCGUUGGGUGCGGUCAGGUGGAAUCACCAGUGGUCGUCCAUUGUGAAAUCGAUGGUCCCGAUUAGAUCGUGAGCGCAUUGAUUAUAGACCCUAGAUCUCUGAUCCAACGGCCUGGCCAGCGUACUAAUUCGCUGUCGCAUCUACCUAAUCCGGAGCGUUGGCUCUAAAUUGGAGGGUUGCGAUCACUCCAUACCGAUUCGUCCUGGAACAAAUUGUUAAAGGGCCCCUAUAGUUUCUUGAAAUCAACCCGCAGUCCAGCGCUGGCGUCUGUGUCACAAACUUUUUACGUAGCAGCCCCUACAGUUCUUGGUAUUGUUGCACGCAGUACAGAGGAGAAAACCAAAUAAAUUCAAUUAGAAAAUGAUUUUUAAUGUAAAAAUAAUUGCAGAAACUUGUUUAAUUCCUAGAAAAUUCAUUUUAGUUCCUUUUUGACCCAUUCUAAUUUCUAUAAUUUGGUAUUAAUAUUAUUUAUCACAUAGUGUCUCUGUUUUAGCAUGAAACCUGUAUUAAAAUUGACCCCUUAAUUAUUUUUGUACCAAACACAUAAAACCUUCGGAAAUUUAUAACUCGCAAUCCGUAACUCCGAAUUUAGUGACUCUUGUUCCUACAAUCUCGUUACGAUGUGUAGAUUAUUAUUAUGUAUUAUGUACUCAUGUUUGGUGUGAUGUUAAUUUCUCCCUUGUACCAUGUUUGUUUGUAUUGUGGCGAGUAGACGAGCCAGUGGCCGAGGAUUCAGGUGUUCAACAGGUAGAACUUGCUGAGCAGGUACUCAUUGAAGGCAAGUUGUGCCUUUGACCACUUUUAUUUACCCAAUAAUGUACUCUAUAAUCAUUUUAUCAUGCAUAGGCUUAAUUUUGAUGGAACCCAAUAGGCCACCAUAGUCUGGUUAUCUUUACACCUUGUUUACCUCUGAAUUUUUGGGUAGUCUUUGUUGUUGCUAUAUAUGGUUUUGGGUGUUGAGACAACUAUUACACAUGAUCAUUCUUUAUUAUUGUUCUAUUUUUGUUCAUGAUAAGACAACUAUGUUAAUUAGAACAUCGAGCUUAACUUGAGAAACACGUGCCACCACAAGGGUGGAAUGGGACGCUCUUGGCUGAAUAACUAGGAAAGCUAGUGGAGGACUACCUUACCUGAAAGGGGCAAGGGCAGUAGGGGAGUAGGCGUGUAGGGAGGUUCUCAGGUUGAUUUUGCAGCGAUGGCGGUCAGACGGGGGAUUCCUGCAUUACUCUUCCUAGAAACUGUAGCGGGUUUUCUGAAGCUAGUGGAACUUUGUAAAGGCCUCGUAGUGGAUCCCUAGCCAUUCACCUCGGCGGUGUCUAAGGGCCUUGCAAACCCAGGCUAGAUGGGAUACACGACUUGUGUUACAGGGUACAACCUCUGAAGAGUGUAAAAUUGGUAUACUAGUCGUGCUCGCGGUCAUGAGCAACUCAAGACUCUUGCAUGAUUAAUUUAUGGAAUUAAAUUCAAUUUGUCAUUUGCAUCGCAUUGGGAUUUAUUAUUAAUUUUGAUCUACUAUUACUCUGGUUUGGUAUCUACUUACAUUUAGUAACUGCUAAUAAAAAUUGACCAACCUUACUAAAAGCAAUGCUCAUCUUUAACCCUUAUUUGUUGAUCAGCCUUACACUUCACAUGAACUCUCACCUUUGGUGAGUUCAUGCACAUUAUUCCCCACAACUUGUUGAGCUAUGAUCUUUUGUGAGCUCACCCUUGCAAUAUAUAAACCCCCCACAGGAGAAGAACAGGUGGUCUAGGAG
rnacentral:lncRNA from 1 species